rnacentral:rRNA from 1 species
UCCACGCUGUAAACGAUGAUCACUCGUUGUUGGCGACACAUUGUCAGCGACUAAGCGAAAGCAUUAAGUGAUCCACCUGGGGAGUACGGCCGCAAGGUUGAAACUCAAAGGAAUUGACGGGGGCCCGCACAAGCGGAGGAACAUGUGGUUUAAUUCGAUGAUACGCGAGGAACCUUACCUGGGCUUAAAUGCACGACGAUUAAUCGGGAAACCGAUUUUUCCCGGGACGGAGU